rnacentral:rRNA from 1 species
GACGAACGCUGGCGGCGUGCUUAACACAUGCAAGUCACGGGGGCUCGCAAGGGCAACCGGCGAACGGGUGCGUAACACGUGAGCAACUUACCGAUUUGUGGGGGAUAGCCGGCCCAACGGCCGGGUAAUACCGCAUACGCUCUUUGGGUGGAGUCACCUGAAGAGGAAACCUCCGGGGCAAAUCGAGGGGCUCGCGGCCUAUCAGCUAGUUGGUGCGGGUAACGGCCCACCAAGGCGAUGACGGGUAGCGGUCUGAGAGGAUGGCCAGCCACAUUGGGACUGAGAAACGGCCCAGACUCCUACGGGAGGCAGCAGUGGGGAUCUUGCGCAAUGGCCGAAAGGCUGACGCAGCGACGCCGCGUGUGGGAGGAAGCUCUUCGGGGUGUAAACCACUGUUGCCCGGAACGAAUGUCAGGGAUUUGUCCUGAUUGACGGUACCGGGUGAGGAAGCACCGGCUAACUCUGUGCC